rnacentral:rRNA from 1 species
GACGAACGCUGGCGGCGUGCCUAAUACAUGCAAGUCGAACGAUAGCGACCGGUGCUUGCCCUGGUCAAUCUAGUGGCGAACGGGUGAGUAACACGUGGGUAACCUGCUCAUCAGAGGGGGAUAACAUCCGGAAACGGAUGCUAAAACCGCAUAGGUCUUCGAGCCGCAUGGCUUGAAGAGGAAAAGCGGCGCAAGCUUCUGCUGAUGGAUGGACCCGCGGUGCAUUAGCUAGUUGGUGAGGUAACGGCUCACCAAGGCCGUGAUGCAUAGCCGACCUGAGAGGGUGAUCGGCCACAUUGGGACUGAGACACGGCCCAAACUCCUACGGGAGGCAGCAGUAGGGAAUCUUCCGCAAUGGACGCAAGUCUGACGGAGCAACGCCGCGUGAGUGAAGAAGGUUUUCGGAUCGUAAAACUCUGUUGUUAGAGAAGAACAAGUGCUAGAGUAACUGUUAGCGCCUUGACGGUAUCUAACCAGAAAGCCACGGCUAACUACGUG